GGUCCCGUAGCUUAGUUGAAUAGAGCGUCAGAUUCCGGUUCUGAAGGUCAAGGGUUUGAAUCCCUUCGGGAUCACAA
rnacentral:tRNA from 1 species